rnacentral:rRNA from 1 species
CCCGCUGAACUUAAGCAUAUUAUUAAGCGGAGGAAAAGAAACUAACAAGGAUCUCCGUAGUAACGGCGAGUGAAGCGGAGUCAGCUCAAUUUUUUAAUCGGAUGCCUUCGGUAUUCGAGUUGUAAUCUUAGGACUUGUGCUCAGUGUGUGACCCAGGCUUGAGUCGUUUGGAAAGACGUCCCAUAGAGUGUGAUAGGCACCUACACGGCCUGGAGCUCGCCAUGUACGACACAUGUUCCACGAGUAGAAUUCCUUGGGAAAGGAGUUCGAAUUGGGAGGUAAGCAUCUUCCAAAGCUAAAUAUUGGCGGUAUUCCGAUAGCGAACAAGUAGCGUGAGCGAAAGAUGAAAAGAACUUUGAAAAGAGAGUUAAAAGUACUUGAAAUUGCUCAGAGGUAAGUUAUUGAUGUCAAUCGUUUAGCGACUCCCUACUUUUGAGACAGCUGAGGUGCGUUCGUUGCUAAGCCUUUUCCGGUCUAGCUUCUUUCCUGCUUUCAGUUGCUUUUUUGUAUGUGUGUCGCUCUGCCCAGGGCUUCUUCGGCGUGACUGCAGAAAGCUUGCGGAAGGUGAGAAUCUCUGGGGUUCGCUUCAUUGGUUCUGUUACAGCCGUUUGCCAUACAGUCUCUCGGAGAUGUAAUGGGGUAUUCCAGUCCUUCUUGCCUGCUGUGCAGUCGUAUAGUAGAACAAAGUUCUCCUUGUCGAUGCCGCAUGGUACUGCUUGACGCGACUAGCCAUUACCCUUUCUUGGGUUAAUGACAUCAAUUGACCCGUCUUGAAACACGG